CUGUGAGAUGCUUCACAGCUCAAAGACGUCUGCUUUUCUGGCCAGACUAUUCCAGUUCUGAUGGCAAGCCUCCCAGACCAAUUAGAAGAUUGCAGGUGAAACAGGUGCAAAAGAGAAAGUGGGAUUCAAGCCCUUGAUGGCAUGCUCAGUGGGACAUCUGAGGUGCGCACAGAUGUGCAAGUGUGAGAGGAGGCCAUGAAUUACUUCACUUGAUACUUCUCCUUUUGCCGUGUGAUUCUUUGCUCUAAAAGCAGUGGAAACGUUUGGUGAAAACCUCAGAUACUGUUCUCUGGGUUUCAUCCUUAAUACUCUGUAUAAUCACAUUUUCAUUGCUGUAAAGAUGGUCCCUGCACUGUAAUUCCAA